CCACCAAUAGGCUCCUUUGCCUCUGGCUUCCAGGUGGGUGUACCCCAGGGGAGCCCCGGCAGGAGAUCAGAGGGAAGACAUGGGUUAUAGGCACUUAGUUCCCUGGCUCCGUUCCUGGCGUGGGCAUCUAAGGCUGGCCUCAUGCCUUAACGGAUGAUUACAACUGCUAUCUGGCAGCUCUCUGUCCCCAGGUCCUUUGAGGCCUACGAGUGAUAAUGGAGUCCCCAUAGUUUUCCCAGCCAUAUCUCUAGUGGUUCCCUGUAUGCUAUCCACACUUAUAUAAAUAGUCCUUUAUUCAAUUCUUCUCAAAUUACCCAAUUUGAGCGUGCCAUCUGUUCUUCACUAGGACCCUGACUGAUACACAGAAUGAUGAUCAUAUAAACAACGAAUGUUGUUAACCAAGCUCUCAUAUUAUCUCAGGAGCUGAGGAAGGGAAAUAUAUGUGUAUUUGCAGCAGGUGUACAGAGAGAGUUAAAUUCUCAUUUUCCCCGAGAAAUAAAUAGACGAUAUCUAAUAACAAAGAAAAACAUUAAGAAAAAGCAUUAUAGAAAGGUGGACGGAAAUCUCAGAAGAAACAGCAAAAAGAAUUGAGGAUACCAAGAUCUUUCUUAAUUGCUCCUUGGAUAGCUGAGGAAUACCUUCGCAAACUAUUUCUUUUUAGACUGUGAUUCUAGACUCGUUAGUGGGUUUGGAAAUCAGUUCAAGGGGUAUCAGUCAAUUCUCUGUGUAUGUGUUGGGGUUAUUGGAGAGUGAACCCGGAGGUGCUCUACCACUGAGAAACAUCCCCAGCCCCCCUUUUUAAAAAUUUUACUUUGACCACCAUGCGUGAAGGUUCACACCUGUAAUCCCAGCAGCUCAGGAGGCUGAGGCAGGAGGAUCAUAGGCUCAAAGCCAAUUUAGCAAGGCUCUAAGCGAUUUAGCAAGACCCUGUCUCAAAAUAAAAAAAUAAAAAAGGUGGGGGUGAUGUAGCUCAGUAGUGAAGCGCCUCUGGGUUCAAUCCCUGGUCCAAAAAAUAAUUUUACUUUGAGAUAGGAUCUCCCUAAAUUGCUGAGGCUGGCUUCCAACUUGAGAUCCUCCUGCCUCAGCCUCCCUAAUUGCUGGGAUCACAGGCAUGCACCACUGGACCUGGCAGUCAAAUCUUUAAUUAAUCAGAACAGAAUAGAAAUUAAAAACAGGCAUCCCCAAUAAGGAGAAGAAAUGUGGUUUUGUUAAGCUUCUGUUCAGUUUUAUAUUUGUUCCUGUGGAUGUAAUGUGAAAUGUGUUUCUUAUUGUGGAUUACUCUCAAAAGAGCUUGAAAGUCACGAUUCUAAAAGAAUGGUGGCUGAACACAGGACCGAGAACAAAACAGUCUACUCAAAUGAGGUUAAAGGGUUAUGUUAUUCUCUGAGGAUGCAGUUAAAUUUCAAAUGACUGACAGGAAUAAUAAUUCUCCGCACUGAUGCGAGGGCCAGCCAGGUUAAUAGUUCCACACGCAGUUCUUAUUAUAACCACCCUGUGCAUUAUGAUGUUCUUGGCUCAGCAGCUAAUAAUAAAAUAAAUCCAGAGCAUCUCUGUUGAAAUGAUAAAUUGCUUUAGCAUGAAAGCCCUACAUACAAAGAAAUAUAAUUGUUCAGGAUGAGGCUAGCAGACAUUACAAUAAGACUAGCAAGCAAGAACAGAAAUCACACUCAACACAGAGGGAAAUGGGAGGGAAAACCUGACCCAUUUGCAAUUCACUGCUACUUAAACCACCAGCUAGGUGACUCAGGGUGCAAGUGAACAGAAUUCCUAGAAUCUAAAAAACAAAAACAAAAGCAUCGCCUAGGAAUCGACCUCAGCUCUCUUUGCAUUAAGAGAGCUGGAAAAUAAGGUUUCAGACUCACAAAAUCUAUUGGAAAGUGGAUUUUGUGAUCAAACUAGGAAGCAGUGAGUUGAGAUGCAAUUUUUACAGUACCGUAUUUAUUGUACAUAGUCGUAACUCAAAUUGUGACAUUCAAUGUAUAUUUAUUGUAUCAUUUACGUGAUUGUAUGAAAUAAUUGAGAGAAAAUGAGGAACUACAGUUUCUUUUCCAACUUGUGUAAAGUCAAUAAGAGGAGGCACCCUAAGACCAAUAAUUCCCAUGCACCAGAAUGUCCAAUCGUUUGACUUCUUCCAAUCUCUGAAAUCUAAUGGCAAAUGUAAAGUUUAUUUUUGGUUUUUGUGGGUUUGUUUUGGUAAUAGGAAUUGGAUCCAGGGGCACUCAACCACUGAGCCACAUCCCCAGCCCUAUUUUGUAUUUUAUUUAGAGACAGGGUCUCACCGAGUUGCUUAGAGCCUCACUAAAUUGUGGAGGCUGACUUUGAACUCGCGAUCCUCCUGCCUUAGCCUCCCAAGCCAGUUGUCAAUGGAUCAUCAAUAGAAAGUCAGUGCUUAUGCCAGUAUUUGAUCUGGCAGUGCAUUCUGGUCUGUGUGACAGUGGGAAAGUAAAAGAGAGCCGGGUGCGGUGGCACACGCCUGUAAUCCCAGCUAAUGAACUGGAAAUGAUGCAAUGAAGGCCCCCUCUCCACCGCCCUGCUCUCAUGCCAAUGAAGAUUCCUGCAGUUCACCUCUGAGCCAGGCAUCAUGGAGAGCCAAAGGAAGGAGGGGAUGGGGUUCAACUGUGGUCUUCAAUCCCAUUAGGUAUUCAGGAAGCAGCUGCAGCACGAUAUCCACCUGAGAACAUCUAAUAAACAGAUAAGUUGUAUGGGUUAAAAAUAAGUUUAGCCAAAGGGAUCGGUAUCCCUGAUACCAUUCUAUGUUGUGCAGAAGUUAGCCACCAUUUUCUGCAAUGCACUUGGCUGGCAAGUGACCCUAAGGGCCAAUAUGUACUUUUAUUUGUAUAUUUUUGGUACCAGGGAUUGAACCCAGCAGAGCUUAACCACUGAGCCAUAUCCCCAACCAAUUUUUUUAAAUUUAUUAUUUUGAGACAGGGUCUCACUACAUUGCUUAGGGCCUUGCUAAAUUGUUGAGGCUGGCCUCCAACUUUCGAUCCUCCUGCUUCAGCCUCCAGAUCCACUGGGAUUACAGGCAUGCACUACCAUGCCUGGCCCCAAAUGCACUUUUGAGCCCACUGCUGAAACCCACUAACCUUACGAGCCUCUUGGCUCUGGUUCUAAAACUCCCCAAUGCCUAUGAAUUGGCACUUGACCCCUGAUAAGCUCCAGAAGGCUGGCCUCCAAGAAGUAGGAUCAGGAUAACCAUGUCCCAUUGACUGCCCACCAAGGCUGGCUUCUGCCUGAAACCAUCAUGCAGUGAGACAGUCAUGCAGAACCACACAGCAAGUAUGUCAGUCAGGUUUUUGGUUACAAGGCCCAUUCUGCCUGAUUAUAUCAAAAGGAGCAUCCUAAGAGAGUAGGGGAGCUCACAAAAUCUAUGUGAAGAUGAGGGAAUCAGGCUUGUAAGCCUGGAUUACGCUAUCAGACUGCUCUGAUGAGACCUCACUUCUGGGAUAUGAUGGAUGUAUUAAUCAGCUUGAUUGUAGAGAUCAUGUCACAAUGAUACAUAUACCAAAACAUCACAUUGUACACCCUGAGUAAAUAUAAUUUUUGCUUGUUAAUUAUAUCUCAAUAAAACAGGAAGGAGAAACAGAAUUCAUAAAAUUAAUAUAAAAGAUGCUUUAAGAACAUUUCAGUACCCAGUUUUCACUUUUUUUUUUUUUUUUUUUUUGUACUGAGGAUUGAACUCAGGGGUAGUUAACCACUAAGCCACAACCCCAGCUUCCCUCCCCCAUUUUUUUAAAUUUUAUUUUGAGACAGGUUCUCACUAAGUUGCUGAGGCUGGCUUUGAACUCAUGAUCCUCCUGCCUCAGCCUCCCAAGGUGCUGAGAUUACAGGUGAGCACCACCAUGCCCAGCCAGUUUUCCCUUUUUAAUCAUGGAUACCACAUGGCUUUCUUGGGUUUCUGUUAGUAAAAUGAAGAAUCCUGCUACGAAUGACCUUUUUCUGUUUUUUUUUUUUUUUUUGCUUUAAUGCAAACAUAGGACUAAAUUAAGAAUGCUCAUUUUUUUGCUCAUUUUCCAUUGUAAUACAUGGUUUUAGUUCAAAAAAGAAAGAAAGAAUCCUUAAAAAGUACAGAUACAAACCUCGAUUUGGCCUCUCAUAUUUGGCAGUUUCUUUAGACAACUGCUUUCUUCUGGCUCAGCAGUGCUUAACUGCAAACUAGCAUCAAGAGCUUCUAUCAGGAUGCUGGGUUUGAAUCCUGCUUGGCCAAGCUAUUUCUUUGACCUGGGCAAGUUCUUUAGCUCUCUGUGCUUCUGUUUUCUCAUCUAAAAUGGAAAUAAUAAUGAUACUUAUUUCAUAGAGUUGGUAUAAGGCUAAAAUGAGAUAAUGUGUGUAAAGACUGUCUGGAGGACAAUAGGCACUUAUAUUUGUCAGUUUUCAUUGCUGUAAUGAAAUACCCGAGGCAGGCAACUUACGAAGAAAAACAGGUUUAUUUUGCUCACAGUUUGGGAGGUUCAAGAGCAUGUACUGGCAUUGGCUCAGCUCUGGUGAGGGCCCAAUUGGCUGCAUCACAUCAUGGAGGAUAGCACUGGCAGGAGUGCAUUUAGCUGCCAGUGAUUAUAUGGCCAAACAGGAGGACAGAGGCCGGGUGGGGUCAGGCUCAAACUUGUAAAACAAUCCUUUCACAAGAAUUGACCAUGGUCCCAUGAGAACUCUCUUGUCCCUUUUGAAGGCACACCCCUGAUUGACAUAGAAAUUUCCACUAGGCCCCACCUCUUAAAGACUCCAUUAGCUCCACAUUGCCACAGUGGGUAUCAAGCUCCCAACAUAUGAAACUUUGAGAGGGACAAAGAGCAUUCAAAACAUAGUAGCCCUAUUGUUGCUUUUGUAAUCAUUGUUAUUAUACUUUCCGUGAUAUUUUUUAUCUAAUCCUUUUUAUGCAAAUAUGUUAUGUGAGAGCCAGGGCAUCUUAAAGGGAGCUUUCAUAUUUAAAUAUGAAAUGAAUUUAUUGGUGACUAGUUUCAAAGGCAGAAAUCUAAAUGCUAAAGUUUGUUGCAUUGACAGAAAGGAAAAUAAAAGCCCAAAGUUAUAGCAUCAAGGAGACCUCAAGGGCUGGGGAUAUAGCUCAAUGGUAGAGCGCUUGCCUAGCAUGCACAAUGAUACUCAAUCUCACACACACACGUGCACACACAUGCACACACACAUGCACACACACACACACAAAGAAGGCCUUAAAUUAAGUGAUAUUGCUGGCAUUUGUAUGUCAUAACAAUGAUUCAAAUACUAAGGCAAGAAUGAUUCUUCAUAUAAAAGGCUUUUACAGACCUCAAGAUGUAGAAUCUAUCUUCCAGGCUUAAAAUAGCUUCUUUCAUAAUUUUUAAAACAUAUGCGCUUUCAUGCGAGACAGCAGAGGGCAGCUUUAUUGGCACCAUUUAUCCGUUGAGCUGUAAGUCAUGGCAGGUAUCUUGGAUUGCACAUUUCCCCUUAUCAGGGGGAGUCGACAGGCAAAUAGACCAGUCAUGUUUCUGUUUAUAUUCUCAAGAGCACUUAUUUGUUUAAUAAAGCUCACUGGUAAUUGCCAACCAGGUUUCCUUAUACAAAAUACAAGACUUAAUGAAAUUUUAUCAUAAUUGUGAGUCACAAAAGCCCUUUUAAGCAAAUUAAUGGCCACUGAUGGAAAUAAACAAGGAGCGCCAACGAAAUUUCAAUUAGUCAUUUCACUAAGAGUCCUUCCAUCUUAACACUCAGAACUUUAUUCUGCCCUGUUGUCACCGUUUUUAUAAUUCAAUACAAGGUCUUUUAUUUGACAUUAGUUUUGUUGAUCGGUGACAUAUUGUGACCCAAGUUUAAAACUGCAACAUAGCACAAGUUUCAUCAAAUUUUGAUUAGCAUACUCCACAUGACACAGAAAAUAUAUUGCUACAAUCUCAACUCUCCAGCGCUUAGAAAAGUAGCUUGGUAAAUUGAGAGGGUAUAUGUGGAGAGAAUACUUAAAAUAUAUUUAUGUCUUCAUUAUGUUCUCUUAAAAUAUGAUAUAUAAAAUCUAAUUUUUUUUUUUGGUACCAGGGAUUGAACCCAGGGGUACUCAACCACUGAGCCACAUCCCCAGCCUACCUCCCUCCUGCCUUGUCCCCAUAAGGGGAAUUGAAGAGUUGCUUAGGGCCUCACUAAUUUGCUGAUGCUGGCUUUGAACUUGCGAUCCUCCUGCCUCAGCCUCCUGAGUUGCUGGGAUUAUAGGCGUGUGCCACUGCACCCAAUUUAAAAUCUAAUUUUCUAGUGAGCGCAGGUUUGCAAAUGGAAAGAGAUAGGAUCCUUUUAAAAUCCAGCCAAGUGAGGACUAUAUGCCUGUAGACCCAGCUAUCGGCAAGGCAAGGCUGAGGCAGGAGGAUCACUUGAGCCUAGGAGUUUGAGGUCAGCCCCAAACAGAGAGAGAUCCCCAUAUCCAAAUAAAUAAAUAAAUGAAAUCAUUAACAGAUAUGUUAAGGUUUAGUACAGGGAAUUCAGAAAAGCAAAGUUGAGCUUUUUAAAGCUAAUAUUUUUUGGUCGACAUUUGGAAGGAUUUUUCUCUAAGAUAAAAGGGGAAAAAAGACUUUGAUGCCUGGUAAAGGUAAGAAAUCUGAGUGGUGAGUUUUGCCUCUGUUCAAAAAUAAACUGCGAUUCAAAUGCACAUUUUUGUCAAACCUGGAGAGCUGGUAAUUAAUAACCACGGCAUCUCGGUGAUUCUUUUCUCAUUUACACUUAGAUAUUUAUAUUCUUUUCAUUGUUCUUGGAUUUUCCGUGGUCUUAGUUUGGAUUCCUUCAGAAGCUGAAGGUGAGACAAGGGUUGAAGCGCAAGUAGUUUGUUUGGGAGGUGGAAAUAAGUGUCCAUAGGGGGCUGAGGCUGGGGCUGGGGCUCAGUGGUAGAGUGCUUACCUGGCAUGUGUGAGGCACUGAGUUCGAUUCUCAGCACCACAUAGAAAUAAAUAAAAUAAAGGUCCAUUGACAAUUUAAAAAAUAUAUAUUUAAAAACAAAGUGUCAAUAGGGAAGCCAGGAAGUAAAUUCUAGAAGGGAAGCCACUAUAAGUGGGUUAUCCAGCAAGAUACAACUGCGGACCCAGGCUGCCUAAUCUCACUGGGGAACUCUGGGAGGGAGGUGGUGCAGAAGGGAGCCCCUGAGUCAUCUCACAGUAGGAGAGAGGGAGCUGGGGCAUGGAUAGCUAGGGAGCCAGGCAGCUGGGGUAUUGAUUUGCUAAAUAGCCAGGCCCCAAGCAACUCAGUGGGACCCUGUCUCAAAAAGAUGUAGUAUAUAUAAACCAUCCUUUCUUAUUGUUCAAGGACUUGUCUUUCUCUGCCUGCACCUUAGAUACUGGUGUUUCUCUUUACUUCUUACAGUACAACCUCUUGCAGGGCCGUGUCUUAUUAUCUCAUCCAAUGGCGUCUUUGUUCUGGAAUCUUCAUAUCCGGAUCAGACCACCGCUCUGUUCUGGAUGCCGCUGCCUGCCGGGGAGCAUGGCUGCGGGGUCACACAGCUCUUCCAACUCACCCUGCCCUCCCAGAACUCCUGCUAAAGGAACCCUCUUCCACUUCCAUUGGUGAUUCUGUAACCAAGGUUCACUUGAUGCUUUGACUAUAUCCCCUGUAGCUAUGAAACGUACAUUUUUUUUUCUUUUCUCCAGCCUUCUUCUCCUGAUCUUCUGCUACCUGCUCUUUUCCCUAACUUUUCCCCUAAUCUUCACUGAUCUUCUUUUCCCUAAACUUCUCCCUGAUCUUUUCCCUGAUGUCUCCUUCCUGAUCUCAUUUUCUCCUCCCUAAUCUCAUUUUCUCUGAAUCACCUCUAGAAUCACAGCCUUUGGGACUUGAUGUGUUUCUCCUUUGCUAGCAAAGCAAUAAACCCUC
rnacentral:tRNA from 1 species